AUUGAACGCUGGCGGCAGGCCUAACACAUGCAAGUCGAACGGUAGCACAGAGAGCUUGCUCUCGGGUGACGAGUGGCGGACGGGUGAGUAAUGUCUGGGAAACUGCCCGAUGGAGGGGGAUAACUACUGGAAACGGUAGCUAAUACCGCAUAACGUCGCAAGACCAAAGUGGGGGACCUUCGGGCCUCACACCAUCGGAUGUGCCCAGAUGGGAUUAGCUAGUAGGUGGGGUAAUGGCUCACCUAGGCGACGAUCCCUAGCUGGUCUGAGAGGAUGACCAGCCACACUGGAACUGAGACACGGUCCAGACUCCUACGGGAGGCAGCAGUGGGGAAUAUUGCACAAUGGGCGCAAGCCUGAUGCAGCCAUGCCGCGUGUAUGAAGAAGGCCUUCGGGUUGUAAAGUACUUUCAGCGGGGAGGAAGGCGGUGAAGUUAACAGCUUCACCGAUUGACGUUACCCGCAGAAGAAGCACCGGCUAACUCCGUGCCAGCCGCCGCGGUAA
rnacentral:rRNA from 1 species